GGCCGGUGAUGUGAGAAAAAUAUUUGCUACUCUUGAUUUGAUUCUUUAUUGGAUCCAGCUGAUGAUUUCUAUCCACCAAGAUCUCUGAGGCC